rnacentral:rRNA from 1 species
UACGUAGGGGGCAAGCGUUGUCCGGAAUCAUUGGGCGUAAAGAGCGUGUAGGCGGCCCGGUAAGUCCGCUGUGAAAGUCGAGGGCUCAACCCUCGAAUGCCGGCGGAUACUGUCGGGCUAGAGUCCGGAAGAGGCGAGUGGAAUUCCUGGUGUAGCGGUGAAAUGCGCAGAUAUCAGGAGGAACACCGGUGGCGAAGGCGGGUCUCUGGGCCGAUACUGACGCUGAGGAGCGAAAGCGUGGGGAGCGAACAGG